AAAAAUCAGCAGCACCGUAUGGAUUACCAUCUGGCCCUGACCAGGAGGCCUCAGAAGAAGCCCAGGGGGCCGGAGCAGCCGGCUGAGCCCUCAGGGGCAGAUCCUCUUCCAGCCUGAGGCCCUGGCUUGCUUGGAAACGGAUCUCUUGAUUUCCUCUCUUCCUUUCUACUUCCUGAGGCUGUUGACCAUGACAACACAGGUGCUCAUGUUUAGCAAACGUGCCCCAAAGUGCCCCUGGCCCCCAGCCCUGCAGCCCCAGAGCCCUGUGGUCCAGGUGGGAAGCGGUGGGGUGGCCCGGCAUGUAAGGUGUGGCCACGGGAGAGACUACUUGGGUCCUUUUCUCUUUCACCUGACACGCUCCUCCCGAGGAACCUGUCAUACCUCCAUGGCUGCUCGUUCUCUCAGCAGACAUUAAUUGCCACACUCGUGUGUACUGAGCAGUGUUUAAGCCCCACUGCACGCCGACUCUGGGGUAGACGGCCUAGUUCGAAUCCUGGCUCCAUUACUGACCAGCUGUGUGACCUGGGGCAAGUUCCUUCCACUCUCUGUGCCUCAGUUUCUCCAAUGACCUGAGGGUGAUCACAGAAAUAUCUUAUUCGUGAAGAUUCAAUGCCAUCAUGUUGGAAAUCAUUUAGUGGAGGGUCUGGCACUCGGUAAGCGGGAUAUAGGUGUUUGUUGGGUGAAAGUAGCCCACUGUGGGUGCUGAGAAGACAAGGAUGUCCUUGGCCUCCUGGAACCUUUCUGCGGAGCCAAGAGAUGAGCAACAAGCAGGAACGAAUAAAUGAUGUCACUGCACUGUCACAAGGAACGUUAAACUGGUGACAGCGUAGAGGUGGUAAGAGCAAUGAAGACACCCGACUGUAGGAUCACCCGCUUCUUCACAGUAUCCAAUCCAGGGCCAAGUCUGGCCUCCUGGAGUCUUCUCUCAAGACUCAUGACCAAACCCAAAUCCUCAAUAAGCACUGGGAUGCCCUCGGGUUCCCCAAGUUAUUGCUGUUGUUGCCUCAAACCAAUAACUUGGUUUCACCACCAGGAUGGCCCUGGUGGUCUUUGAAGGGCAAAAACUGACUCUGUGGAUAGGCGGUCUCUGCAGUCAUGGGACCCCCGGACUUAGAAAACCGUGCCCUUUAAACCCCUGCUACCAUAUUGAAAUUUUGAAUUGCUUUUGGAUAAGAAGCUCCCUAUGUUCCUGCUUUAGUAGGUCCCACAAAUUUCAUAGCCUGUUCUGCUGAAGGGCAUGGAUAGCAGCUAAUGCCACAGUCACUGCGGUCAAUGGGAGAAGUGGUGUAUUCAGGACCCUUUGGCCAGAUCUGCAGGAGGGGCUGGUACUUUGGAUCUCUGUGGGAGAAUUCUGGGAAGGGGGAGAUGACUUUUGAAAUCGAAUCAGGAGUGCUCUUCAUCCAGAUGGGACGCACUGGGGGAGGUGUCAAGUACAUCCACUUUGGAGUGGGUGGACAGGAGCCCAGAGUCCCCGUCUGGUGCAAAGAUACUUCUUCUCAAACAUGAUGAAGUGGGGAUGGGAUGUCACAGUAACAAAAUCGGUGACCUGAUAUGGCACUACGGUUUUGCAACCUGUCACUGUGAGCGGGGCCGCCAGGCCCAGGGCUCGUGAGAGCUCUAGGAGUUAUUUCUUACAACUGGAUGUGAAUCUACAAUCAUCUCAAAAUGAAAAGUUUAAUUAAAAAAAAUUGGUGACCCAGAAAAUCAGGAUGUGAAUGGGACUUCGGCAGCUCGGGGCAGGUGUUACUGAUUUGUUAUUCAUCAGUUCUCAAAUCUGCAAGGAGUUUGGGGGCAAUUCCUGCAAGCGAUGCAGCCCAAGGUAGGGGCUGUGUGUGAUGUCAGAGGGGACAGGGGGCAGCAUCGGUGGCACCUGAGUGUCCUUUCUUGCGGUAUCUCAUUGAGGGAACAGGGAGCAGCACAGGACUCUGUGAGGGGGUGGACUUGGCUCUGGAAAGUUCUCUGCGGAAAGCAGAUACCGUUCUUCUCAGCAGUGGGGUGGACGCAGAGGUGUACUGGGCCUCCAAACUCUGAACAGGAGAGGUUGUAUUGGCCUCCACUUUCUUGCUUUCCAUGAGCCAGAGUCAGGCUGGGGAGGAGAGCGGGGCGCCAUCUCAUCUUGAUAUUUGCAGAUUUAUUCAUGGAAAUCCCCACACAUCUGGAUGAGAAUAUAUUCCUUGCCCCUGGAGGAAAUAGUUAAAUGAAUCGCUAAAGCACAAAAUGUUCCUGUAAAAUUGCUUCCAUAUUUUAUUAGACGCAGAUGAGCAUGAAUUAUUGUGAAGUCAACUGGAGAGUGAGCAAAUUGGGUUCUCGCCUCUGCCCCCCCCCAUACACAUCUUCCUCCCCAGAAAGUCUUGAAGGGGUGCUGGUUUGGGAUGGGACCAUGGACUCCCUGACUCACUUCUUCAUUCAUCCAUCCAUCCAUAAAACAUUUAUUGGGCACCCACUGUAUGCCAAGUGAGGCAAGCUAAGCUGCAGCUGGAGAUAUUCUUGUUGACCUACAUUGAAACACCACCACUGCAUGCAUAACCGCCCUCUGAGAUGCGCCAUUUUGUUUGACUCCUUCGCGGGGAGAUGCCUUUCUGGGAAGGAGGCUUCCUUUCAUGUCUCUGAGUGCCUCUGUCUUAUCUGUGCCAUGGAGAAGAGGGGACCUUGUCACAUACCCCUUCACAGUUGAAAAGGCUAAUUCACAUUAAAUUCCUCUUUUUUUUUAUCAUCUCUUCAUUU